UACCGUCGUCCAGGCCUCAUCCAUGUUGGC
rnacentral:sRNA from 1 species